rnacentral:rRNA from 1 species
UACAGAGGUCUCAAGCGUUGUUCGGAUUCAUUGGGCGUAAAGCGCACGUAGGCGGAUUGCUAAGUCAGGGGUGAAAUCCUGGAGCUCAACUCCAGAACUGCCUUUGAUACUGGCGAUCUCGAGUUCGGGAGAGGUGAGUGGAACUGCGAGUGUAGAGGUGAAAUUCGUAGAUAUGUGGAGGAAUACCGAUGGCGAAGGCAGCCUCCUGGGCCAACACUGACGCUCAUGCACGAAAGCGUGGGGAGCAAACAGG